rnacentral:rRNA from 1 species
CCUACGGGGGGCAGCAGUGAGGAAUAUUGGUCAAUGGGCGAGAGCCUGAACCAGCCAAGUCGCGUGAGGGAGUACUGCCCUAUGGGUUGUAAACCUCUUUUGUCGGGGAGCAAAAGCCGGACGUGUCCGUCUGUGAGAGUACCCGAAGAAAAAGCAUCGGCUAACUCCGUGCCAGCAGCCGCGGUAAUACGGAGGAUGCGAGCGUUAUCCGGAUUUACUGGGUGUAAAGGGCGCGUAGGCGGAUGUGCAAGUCAGUCGUGAAAUACCGGGGCUCACCCCCGGGGCUGCGAUUGAAACUGCACACC